GCUAGAGAAGUUCCUUUAGCAUUUGUUGUAAAGCUGGUUUGGUGGUGCUGAAUUCUCUUAACUUUUGCUUGUCUGGAAAGCUUUUGAUUUCUCCAUCAAAUGUGAAGGAGGGUCUUGCUGAGUAGAAUAUUCUUGGUUGUAAGUUCUUUCCCUUUCAUCACUUUAAAUAUAUCAUGCCAUUCUCUUCUGGCUUGUAGAGUUUCUAUUAAGAAAUCAGUUGAUAGCCUGAUGGGAGUCCCUUGUAUGGUUUUUGUCAUUUUUCUCUUGCUGCUUUAAUAUUUUAUCUCUCUCUUUAAUUUUUGUUGGUUUGAUUACUAUGCGUCUCAAGGUCUCCUCCUUCCUGGGACACUGUGCUUCCUAGGUUUGGUUGACUAUUUGCUUUCUCUUGUUCAGGAAGUUUUCAGUUAUUAGCUCUGCAAAUAUUUUCUCAGGUCCUUUCUCUCUCUCUUCUCCUUCUGGGACCCCUAUAAUGCGAAUGUUGAUGUGUUUACUGUUGUCUCAGAGGUCUCUUAGGCUGUCUUCAUUUCUUUUCAUUCUUUCCUCUAUCUUCUGUUCUGAGGCAGUGGGAUUUCCACCAAUCUAUCCUGUAGGUCAUUUAUUCAUUUUUCUGCCUCUGUUAUUCUGCUACUUAUUCCUUCUAGUGUAUUAAUUCAUCUCUGCUUGUCUGUUCUGUAAUUCUUCUAAGUCUUUAGUAAACAUUCCUUGCAUCUUCUGAACCUUUGCCUCCAUCCUUGGCAGCUCAGCCAAGCUGUGCUUGGGAAAGGCUGAGUCAUGGUGAGAUCGCAGCUCUGCAUAAAUCUGAAAGUCAUUAAUCAAACACACUUGGAUUAAACGCACUGAAAUUGCACUAAAGAAGGUGGGUGGGAGAGUUCUGUUUGUCCACCCCAUACACACUUUGGAGACUGGUUCUUUUUCAGUUGACCUUUGUGAGCACAGAUUUCACUGAGAGCAAAAAAGAACAUACAUGUAUCCUCCUUGGACAAACCUAAAAUUACACACUUAGCACCAACAGGAGUUAUGCAAGAUAAAUUAAAAACAUUGAGGCAAGAGGCUUGGCACACAAAGAGAGUUUCAUAAACACUCUCGCCCACGUUGGGGCGCACUGGGAUCCCACACAGCUGGGUACCCGGCCCACACCUGGAAACCUGCUCUUGGGACCUUUGCUCUCUCAAUCCCUCUCUUGAGUUUCUCUGAAGCAAGGAAGUGAAUCUAGGUCCUGAGAAGCAGGUACUAUGUCAAAAUCAUUUCACUGUAUUCAAGAAAAAAGCAAGCAUCCUCAUUUUGCGGAGGAUGACAGGCGCAUGCCCAACAAAAUUGUCAGCACUUGCUUUUCUCCUUUGGGGUUUCUCCUGCACUAGUUUCUUCAUUCAAACUGCAGUAAAUCUUCAGACCAUUUCGACUCACCACCGUCUGGUUUUGCUCUGGGGAAACCCCCUCUCCAUCCCCGAAGACCACCGCUUGGCUCAUAUAUGGCUCAGAGGUGGCAUCAACUACAGUGGGCACAACACGGGGAGGGGUACGCUCGGGAUGUGGUGUUUCUCAACCUUCAGAAGCAGACUGCCCCUCCUACGAAGGGAAAACUGGGGACCGGAGCCUCUUUCUCUGCAAAUCACAGUGCCGGAGCCUAGAAGCCAGUUCUUGCUGGCUUCUCUGCCCGUGGACCGGCCUCCACAGUGUGUGCCGCCGGUGACUUUGGGUCAGUUCCGCACUCCACCCAAGCGCCUGGAGCGCCCCUGCCCUCAGCUAUGUCAUCCAACACCCGCAUGACACUGGUCACCAGGGCCCACAAGGGCAUCGCCUUCAAAGGUUGCUGACACCACACCAUUUCACAUUCAAGCAGAGGUGACUCUGAAAACAAACUUCUUUGGCACCAGAGUUGUGUGCACAGAGCUCCUGCCUCUGAUAAAGCCCCAAGGCAGAGUGGUGAAUGUAUCCAGCUUUGUCAGUGUCAACUCUCUAAAGAAAUGCAGCCCUGAACUGCAGCAGAAGUUUCAAAGUGAGACCAUCACGGAGGAGGAGCUGGUGGGGCUCAUGA